GAUAUGAUCACCAAGGAAGAGAGGAUAGGAGGAAAAGAGAAGGUCCAGGAUAGAAUUUUGAGGAGUGCUCAUAUUUAGGUAAUGGAAAUGGAUGAUCCAGCAGUGAUGACUAAGGAAUGGUCAGAUAGGAGAACCAGGAGUGACCAAUGUCACAAAUGUGGAUGAGAUGGUCAAAUAGUGUUAAGAUAUGCAGCAAAGAUAUGAAGGAGAAGGACUGAUAAAAGGCCUUUGGAUUUGGCACUUAAACCUUUAAGAGAGAGUUCAUUUGAGUAUUCUUGGUCAUUUGAGUGCACGGGCAGAAGCAGGUUGCUAAGGGGUGAAUUGUGAGAGGGCAAUGAGAAAAUAUAGGCAAUGAGUGUUAGUGGUGCUCUCUGGGAUUUUAAUAAUGAGAAGAGUAGAGGCAGACUAAAUGUAUGACAUAAUCAAGUGGAAGUUUUUUUUUUUUGAAGGAUAAAGGACAUCUGAGCAUGUUUGAAGGCAGAGAAGGAGCAAGCAAAUGGGGAAAGGCUGACAUGAGAGGGCACGUGAUAUUUGAUGGGGUCAAUUAACUAAAGAAAGAGAAAGUUGGCUCAAGUAGAAUAGUAGCCUUAGCAAGGAAAAGGGAUACUUCAUUGAUUAUUAUUAAUGAACUCCCGUUCAUGAGACAUAGCCUUGAUUUUUCUCAUUGAAAUGGGAAGGGAAGUAAUCUGCUCAGAAGAGAGAGUCUGGAAGGUUGGCAGGGGCUUCAAGAGGGAGCAGUGCUUUUGGAAUAACCAAUGGGAGGGAUGUAUUAGAGUCAAUUUGAGAGAGAAAAAUGUCCUACAAUAGAGAGAGCAUGAAAGGAAGUAUGAUAGAGUUCAUUGUUGUUCAGUCAUGCCUGACUCUUUUGAUAGCCCCCCCCCCCUUUUGGGCAAAGAUAUAGGAAUAGCUUGCCAUUUCUUUUUCAGGUUCAUUUUACAGAUGAUGAAACUGAGGCAGAGGAUGAUUUGCUUGAAGUCACACAGCAAAGGUUGAGCAGUCUUCCAGAGAGCAAUGUUCACCAGCUCCUUCCCAGCAGCCCUCCUUCUAUAAGGGGCGAUGGAUUUACCCUGUUGCCUGGAGACUGGACUCAAACAGAGACCCAGAGAGAGCACCCAGGAGCUGGCUCCGGAGGGUUUAAGAACAAGUCCUGGAGCGGAUAACUCCUGGAGCGGAUAAUGGAGCCAAGUAACUCCAGCAAAGUGAAGCCUCAGCUCAAGCUGGAGGGAGAUGACAGGAAGAAGAAGGCAGUGUCUGAGGACCCCCUCCCCAGGCAGGACUUACCUUCCACC
rnacentral:lncRNA from 1 species